rnacentral:rRNA from 1 species
CCUACGGGAGGCAGCAGUGAGGAAUAUUGGACAAUGGGCGCAAGCCUGAUCCAGCCAUGCCGCGUGCAGGAAGACGGGUCCUAUGGAUUGUAAAACUGCUUUUGUACAGGAAGAAACACUCCCUCGUGAGGGAGCUUGACGGUACUGUAAGAAUAAGGAUCGGCUAACUCCGUGCCAGCAGCCGCGGGUAAUACGGAGGAUCCAAGCGUUAUCCGGAAUCAUUGGGGUUUAAAACGGGUCCGUAGGCGGUUUAAAUAAGGUCAGUGGUGAAAUCUGGUCGCUCAACGAUCAAACGGCCAAUUGAUACUGUUAGACUUGAAUUAUUAGGAAGUAACUAGAAUAUGUAGUGUAGCGGUGAAAUGCUUAGAUAUUACAUGGAAUACCAAUUUGCGAAGGCAGGUUACUACUAAUGGAUUGACGCUGAUGGACGAAAGCGUGGGGAGCGGAACAGGAUUAGAUACCCUGGUAAGUCCAGCCGUAAACGAUGGAUACUAGCUGUUACGGAGCAAUCUGUAGUGUGUAGACGAAGUAGAGUAAGUAGUACCACCGUACGGUAGGUACGUUACGUCGAGAAGAGUAACGUAAAGGUAAGUUAGUACGGACGUACGAGACGUAGACGACGGACGACGACGAGGGAGGAGG